rnacentral:lncRNA from 1 species
AAUAAAUCCUGCCAGAGAUCCAAUAAAUCCUGCAGGACCUCCAAUAAAUCGUGCCGGAGAUCCAAUAAAUCCAAGAGAUCCAACAAAAUAUAAAAGUUCUAAAAUAAAUCCUGCAAGAGAUCCAAUAAAAUCUAAAAGUUUUUCAAUAAAUCCUUCAAGAGAUCCAAUAAAUCCUACAGGAGAUCCAAUAAAAUCUAGAAGUUCUUCAAUAAAUCCUACAAGAGAUUCAAUAAAUCCUGCAAAAAAUCUAAUAAAAUUAAAAUUUAUUCAAUAAAUCCUGCAGGAGAUCCAAUAAAAUCUAAAAGUUCUCCAAUAAAUCCUGCAGGAGAUCAAUUCAAACCUAAAAUUUCUCCAAUAAAUCCUGCCAGAGAUCCAAUAAAUCCUGCCUGAGAGCCAAUAAUCCAAGAGAUCCAAUAAAAUAUAAAAGUUCUAAAAUAAAUCCUGCAAGAGAUCUAGUAAAAUCUAAAAGUUCUUCAAUAAAUCCUACAAGAGAUCCAAUAAAUCCUACAAGAGUUCCAAUAAAAUAUAAAAUUUAUUCAAUAAAUCCUAUAGGAGAUUCAAUAAAUCCUACAAGAGAUCCAAUAAAUCCUACAAGAGAUCCAAUAAAAUAUAAAAUUUAUUCAAUAAAUCCUGCAGGAGAUCCAAUAAACCCUCCAAGAGAUCCAAUAAAAUCCAGAAGUUCUCCAGUAAAUCCGUUUGCUCCCCAUUUGCUCGGGGUUUCCUCUGGGUUUACUCCUGGUUUGCUCAGGGUUUGCUCGGGUUUGACCAGGGCUUGCUCAGAUUUUGGGCUCAGGGAG